GUGAAAUUUGCGUUUGAAGCGGCGGAGAUCGAUCAAGCGAUUUGCGUUUGAGAUCCUUAUGAGGAGCUCGAACCGCUCAUCCCCUCUUUCAUCUCCUCCUCCUCCUCCGCUUACGUAACCCUAACGAAGUCGGAGAAUCUCUGGUGAAUUGAUCUUGAUUUCAAUCUUCCUCUCCCAGAAAAAAAAUCUCCAUCGAAAUCGAACGCAAGUGGUGGGAUUAAAGGGAGAGCAAUGGAUUUGGAUCAAUGGAUUUCGAAGGUUAAAGACGGUCAGCAUCUCUCCGAGGACGAGCUUCAGCGUCUCUGCGAAUACGUGAAAGAGAUUCUGAUUGAGGAGUCAAACGUGCAGCCUGUCAACAGUCCAGUCACCGUCUGUGGUGACAUCCAUGGCCAGUUUCAUGAUCUCAUGAAGCUUUUUCAGACCGGUGGUCAUGUUCCCGACACCAACUACAUAUUUAUGGGGGACUUUGUGGAUAGAGGUUACAACAGCCUUGAAGUCUUCACUAUUCUCUUGCUUCUUAAAGCUAGACAUCCAGCCAAUAUUACACUUCUGCGUGGAAAUCAUGAAAGUAGACAGCUAACGCAGGUUUAUGGUUUCUAUGACGAAUGUCAAAGGAAGUAUGGUAACGCUAAUGCAUGGCGAUAUUGCACAGAUGUUUUUGACUAUCUUACCAUAUCAGCUAUUAUUGAUAGCACUGUUCUCUGUGUUCAUGGUGGCCUUUCCCCGGAUGUGCGGACAAUUGAUCAGAUAAGACUGGUCGAUCGAAAUUGUGAAAUUCCCCAUGAAGGUCCCUUUUGCGAUCUUAUGUGGAGCGAUCCUGAAGAUAUUGAAACAUGGGCUGUUAGUCCACGUGGAGCUGGUUGGCUUUUCGGAUCGAGGGUUACCACUGAGUUCAACCACAUCAACAAGCUUGAUCUAGUAUGCCGUGCACACCAGCUGGUACAAGAAGGUCUCAAGUACAUGUUCCAAGAUAAAGGCCUUGUAACUGUAUGGUCUGCACCUAAUUACUGUUACCGGUGUGGCAAUGUCGCUUCUAUAUUGAUUUUCGAUGAAAACAUGGAAAGGGAUGUGAAGUACUUUAACGAGACAGAAGAGAACAAUCAAAUGAGAGGGCCAAGGACAGGAGUUCCGUAUUUCCUGUAAUGAAAACAAUUAUGUUUGCCCCCCUUCUUCCAUCGCUGCGAUGAUGAUGAUGGUGAUGAAGCCAUUGCUAGCUACCAUUGACAAUAUGUUCAGUCUCAAAAGAUUAUAUGUAGAUCUUAGGUAACAGAAACGAACAAAAGAAAUCCAUUAAGCAGAGUCUACCCAUGUGGUGAAUACAACAUAAAAGGAAAUCCUCUACCGCCUCUUCAUCCUAAGACGGUCCUGGACCGGUUUGUUACCCGAUGUAGAUGUGAGACCGGAGAAUGAACGGUCCUAGACUGGUUUGAGAUUAAAGACGAAAUCAGGGUAAACCAGAACCGGCACAAUUACAAAAC